rnacentral:lncRNA from 1 species
UUCACAAUGCCAUAUUAUAUUCCUCGUUCACCUGACAUUCCUCAAAAAAGUAUACCUUGAAUGCUUAAUUUAGAUCAGUCCAUUACAUUAUACUCAUGUGAACACCUCUAUUUUAUUUAUAUAGCCUUAACAUAAAUUUUAAUUGUUAUAUGUGUAUUUCUUUCAUUACUUCAAUUGCUUUGUCCUGAUGAAGUAAAUCAUAUUCUGUAAUAAGGAUUGAAUCAUUAUUUUGGACAGGCAGUGUGACAACUGCCUGAUCAUAACCUGAUAAUUGCCUGACAUUGUGCUGGGGUAGGGGGAGCCCUCUCCUGCCCGGCUCAUGCCUGCACACCUAUAUGUGCCCCAAGAGGAAGGCCUGCAGACUUUGGUCUUGGCUGUGAACCAUGAAGCAGCCCUUUAUCCAUAGUAGAGUGACAGUUCUGACUUCCCAGGGACACACUCAGUGGCACAGCGGGAGCCUUCCCUGGGACCUAGAAUGAGCCACACCCAUCUGUGCACCUGGAAAUAGUCCCACCACCUGUAGAUCUAAAUGCGGACCCUAAAGUGGACACUUGGCCCCAUAUCAGCCCUACUGAUCAAGGUCUUGGAGGCAAUCCAGUCCAUUCAGGACCAGGCGGCACCCAUGCCCACUGAAGCCCCUGGUAAUGAAGCCACCACAUGUGGACUCCACUGUGGAUCCUGUAGCAGUUAAUUAGUCUGUUCUCAGCCUGCUAUAAAUACUUGAGACUGUCUAAUUUGUAAAGAAAAGAGGUUUAAUUGGCUCAGGGUUCUACAGGUUGUACAGGUAGUGGCUUCUGCUUCUAAUGAGGCCUCAGGAAACUUACAAUAAUGGUGGAAGGUGAAGGGAAACCAGGCAUGUCUUAACAUGGCUGGAGCACAAGCAAAAGGGAAAGAGAAGGGGGAGGUGUCACACAUUUUUAAGCAACCAGAUCUCAUGAGAACUUACAGUAUGAGAAUAUACAGUAACAAGGGGGAAUGGUAGUAAAACAUUCAUGAGAACUCCACACUCAUGAUCCAAUUGCUUCCCACAAGGCCCCUCUUCCAAC